AAGGUGUUCAUAGAAAUUUAAUUAGAAGGGCAGAAGUAUGUGUUCGGCAGAAUGGGCAACAUUUUCAGCAAUUUUUGUAAUAAUAAACUUUAUGAUUACUUCGUAUUAUUUCAUUAUGUAUUCCUAAUUUUCCACAACGAUCUACAGUGAGAUCCGUUAUAACGAGACGUGAUAAAGUGUACGCGUACCGAGCGAAAAUUCAAAGUCGAUUUUCUCGAAAACAAAGCCUCAAACGAAAAAUUUUUAUUCUAUAUUUUCGACUACUUUUUCGCGUAGAAUCACCCCCUUUCCGUUUGUACCACCAGUUACCAACUACUCUGUAUAU
rnacentral:misc_RNA from 1 species